CGUUUCCUCGCUAUCUAUAUAACUAAAAAAUCACAUUGUCACAAGUACUUAUUUUCGUAAAGCUUUGAAAGCCUUUUAAAAGGCAUUUUUGUUGCAAUGUUUGUUUGCCGUGUUUCUUUUUGUAUAGUGUUUACCUUUCCCUGACACAAGUUGAAAAUGGCCGAAGGGCAGUUAAUGGACACAAAAAAUGUCCAUUUUUCCAGUAACCAUCACUUUUCUCAUAGAAAUGAGAAACUAAGACCAUUAUCUCUCAGGAACGAUAAGCUGAUGUGGGUGCUGAUUUGUUUGGUCUCCGUAUUGCCUGUUGUGCUACUUUUAUUGAAGUUAUGUCGAAAAGCUUCGGAACGUUAUGAAUCUCGAAGGCAACGAGAGCAACCAUCAAGCAAUCAUCUCACAGACUCGUUUCAUAGGCAGAGCAAUUCCAGUGUUUACACCAUAACGAAACAGGAUUAUUCUAAUAUGGCUCCUCCCAGAUAUUCCACUAUUUCCAUUUACCCAGUUCGGAGCACUUAUGAGAAACCACCACCUUAUUAUAGCUGAAGUCUUUUGGAACAUUUUUGGAAUUUUAAUUUCCAAUUUUUUUUCCUAUGGAAAUCGAAAAAACUAAUUCGCUUUACAUUUAAAAAAAUUAUUCAUUAAGGAUUUUUGUAUUUUUUUAUUGUAAAAGAAAAAAAGUCAAUCUCCUUUGAAGAAAAUAUUUAAUAAUAAUAAUAAUGUAUAUUUGCUUAGCACUAUAUAAAAAGAAAAUAUUUUUAAUGUAAUAGCAUACAUAAAUAUUUAAAGAAUACAAUUAAUGACAUAUGGUAUAAGUAUGUCAAUAUGGUAAAAAUAUGAAAACAAGAGAAAUAUAUAUAUACAACAAACCAAAAAUCAUUAUAAAGUGCAUAUAUGCUUUAUUAACAAAAAUGUAUAUUUUUAAAAAAAAUAAAGCACUUUUUGACUUUGACUUUAACUGAAGAAAUUAGAAUACAAUUUCAGACAAUAAAUAAAUGCAUUAAAACUUUUAAAUUUCUUAACAUUUUUUUGGCAGCCGAUUAUAUUUUAACAAACCUUUGUUCAAAAUAGUGUUUAACAUCUGUGCUUCAAUCUACUAGGAUGAAAUUAGUACGGUGCUAGUAUAGGGGAGUGUAAGGCAAAAUGGCAUGUCAGGCAAAAUAACAUACUUUCCCAUUCUACGGAGAUUUUAAAUAUAUUCGGCAACACUGUACCCAUUUACUAUUAGCUUACUCGCGGAUGCGACUAUUAGUGUAAUGAUCCGGCCAUCAAACAGGGUUGUAGUGCUUGUCAAAAAAAGUUUUUGUUUACACGUGUUGGAGCAGGCAGAAAAGAUUAAGAAUGGUAUCUAACUAUUCCAGAAAAUCUAAUCGCCAAUCCUGGUCAACGGCAGACGUGCAAAAGGCAAUUGAGGCAGUUCGAGAAAAAAGAAUGGGUUGGUUAAGGGCUUCUAAGGCAUUCAAUGUUCCACAGGCAACCCUGCGAAGGCAUUAUAAUAACAAGAAUUUGUACGCUCGUGAAGGGAAGUAAAGUCUGGGAAUAUUUAGAAAAUCCUUAAAUGAAGAAAUGGAAAAAGCUUUAUGAGAGCACAUUUUGGAUUUAGAGUCAAAAUUUUUUGGGUUAACACAAAUAGAGCUCCGUACGGUUGCAUACGAGCUUGCCGAUCGUAGUGGUAUGCCACACCAGUUUAACAAAGUGAAAAACAUAGCUAGCUGAGGGUGGUUUCGUGAUUUUAUGUCAAGACAUCCAACAAUAUCGCUCAGAAAGCCAGAAGCAACGUCGGCAGCACGGGCCCGGGCCUUCAAUAAAGAAGAGGUAGCAAAAUAUUUUCAGAACUUGGAAAAAAUAAUUAAAAAGGAAAAAAUAAACCCGACGAUGAUUUAUAACAUGGAUGAAAGUGGAAUAACCAAUGUCCAAAAAACUCAAAAGAUUGUUGCCCAAAAAGGCAAGAAGCAAGUAGGGUCACUAACAAGUGGAGAACGGGGAUUUCAUACACCUGCUGUGAUUUGCGUAAGCAGCAUUGGUAACUAUAUCCCUCCAGCUCUAAUUUUUGCUACCAAAAAGAAAAAUGAACUACUUUAUGAUGGAGCACCUCAAUAAACGCUUAAAUCGUAUAAUAAACCUGCCUAUAUGAUAAAACCAUUAUUUUUUAAAUGGAUUAAACAUUUUGUUCAAUAUGUUAGACCCACUUUCGAUAAUAAAGCCCUGCUAAUUUUGGAUGGGCAUACAAGUCACAAAGAUUAUAGUGCCCUAAAAUAUGCAAAAGAAAAUUAUGUAGUGAUUUUUUGUUUACCAGCGCAUUGUACCCAUAGACUUCAACCACUAGAUGUGUCAUUUUUUGGACCUCUGGGAUCCUAUUAUGAUCAAGAAGUAACGAACUGGUUAAAAGCAAAUCCUGGGAGGACAGUGUCGAUGUAUCACAUUUCAUCACUGUUUGAAAAGGCGUACAAUAAAGCAGCCACUGUUGGAAUUGCUGUUAGUGGUUUUAGAGCAACCGGUAUUUGCCCACUAAAUCCACAAAUUUUUCCGGAUCAUCUUUUUGCCCCCAGUUUAGUAACAUCACUGGUUGAGGAUACCGAAAACACGGAUAUUGAAAAUGCAGGUAAAAAUUCACCUAACAAACAUAAUGAUGAUAAGGAUGACAAUAACCAACCCGGAUGCUCGAAGGACAGCGGCUGUUCAAACUUUCGGUAAGGUCCCUACUUCGAAUAAUAACGGAAAUAAAAUGGCAAAUAUAUCGAAAAUAGAUAAAAUUUUAGAAGAAAUACACCCCAAACCUGUAGCUAAGAUAGCAAUAAAAAAAUCAAGAAAGGAGUCUCAAAGUGUCUUAACAAUUUCUCCAUUUAUUAACGAGUAAAAAGAAUUCGAAAUAAAAAAAAGAGAAAGAGAAGUCAGGAAAAGUAAUCGAGCCCGGGUUACCAAACAAGUUUUUCAUGAUUCAGAUGAAGAACUUGAACCUUUUGGAAAUGAAUCAGAGGACGAGGAUGAUCCAGCGUGCAUCUACUGCAAUGAAGUUUUCAGUAGAUCUAGGUCCAAGGAUCAAUGGAUAAAAUGCCAACUCUGCAAAAUGUGGGCUCACACUGACUGCGCAGAUGUGUCAAAAAAAAACCAAGUAAUUUAUUUGUGAUGCAUGCAAAGAUUAGUUUAAGCAAAUGUAUUUUUUAAAGAGUGGGAUCUUUAGAAUAAUGUUUUCCUUUUGUUCUUUAUGAUUUUAUUUGUUUUCAUUAAAAGUUUACUUUAUAUACAUUUGUUUAAUAAAUGUUUUAAACCGUACA